rnacentral:lncRNA from 1 species
AUUUGGUUAAGCAUAUGUGACUGUUACCAGAUUUUUGAGGCAAAGGCCCCAGUGCUAGGGGUCCUGGUGGACUGUUGGUUCUGACACACAUCCCAAGAUUCCAGUCCAAGAGACAUGCAGUUGUGAAGGCAGGAAAGGAACUUUAAUCAGUGUAGCUAUACCAGGAAGACAAGGGGACUUACAUCCUCAACCCAGUCUUCAGGGGUACUGGCAUGAACUCCCAGCUUAUAGAGUUUAAGGAGGCCAGAAGUGUGCAUGAUCAAGUGUAGUCUUGUCAAACUACGAUCUGGUUUAUCAUUAUUUCAAGAUUGGUCAGGGGGCCUUGUCUGGGAUAAGAAAUUGCUGUUGCUGGGGAGUAGUUCAAGUCUUCUCAUAGGAGAUUUAUUCAUCAGACCUACCUAGAAUCCAGUGUGACCACAGGAGAAAAUGGCACUGAGCAAAGGAAACAGAUCAGAACGGAGGCAGAGAUGCCACAUUUUUAACUGUUUUUUAGUUACCCAUCAGGCAUCUGUAGGUGUGUACAGAGCCAAGUGAAGUACUUUUAGUAAAAGCAGCCUCUCAGUCCUUAUUCCAGUACUGCUGAUUACUUCAGUUUUCCCUGCCUCUGAUCAUCUUUCCCUCAUAUCUCAGACCACCAUGUUUGGGUGGUUUUUUGUUUGUUUGUUUUGGUACCAGGGAUUGAACUCAGGGGCACAUAAAUACUGAGCCACAACCCCAGCCCCUUUUAUUUUUUAUCUUGAAAGAUCUCGGUAUGUUACCUAGGGCCUCAAGUUGCUGAGGCUGGCUUUGAACUUGUUAUCCUCCUGCCACAACCUCCUGGCUGAGAUUACAGACGUGCACCACCAUGCCCUGCCACCCUGCUUCUUUAUCCCAUAAAUACCACUAAGCCUUAUUUUUGGGGAGGUGGAUUUGAGACUUAGGUCCAGGGACCUCACACACCAUGCUCCCUUGGAGAUGCAGGGCUGCCGGCAGAGCUGCCCAGAAAGGGGCUCAGUGCCAUGCCAGUCUCCAAGUAGGGAUGGAACAGGAUACCAGGGUCUGAGGAGGGUCCCACAUGGCCUUUUCCAAUCAGCCCUCACUCCCUAGCUCAGGAUGCUGGCUCCUUGUUCACCAUUCCUUUCUUUUGGGGUCUCCUAGCAUCUUCCCACAGGAUCCUGUGAUCCAUACAAGUCACAGCAUAUGAAUACUGGAUCACAGUGUACUCAAAGAAUUCCAGACUUAAGUGUUGAAUGGAGAGAUCCUUGGCCUCAGAGUAGGAGAGACCUGUCCAGGCCAGCCAGACUGGAACAGGAGGGCUUGGAGUUUGGCAGGGGUCGGAAAUUCUCAUUUUUUAAUUAUUUAUUUUGAGAUAGGGUCUCCCUAUAUUGCCCAGGCUGGCCUUGAACUACUGGGCUCAAGCAAUCCUUCUGCUUCAGCCCCCUGAAGAGGCCACAGGCACAAGCCACUGUAAUAAAAUUAUUAAAUGUGUGGAAAAAUUAUUAAAUGUGCAGAUUAUGUCAGUAAUAUUCUAUAACAAUAAAGAGAAUAACAACAAAUAUUUGAACUCAGACAAACAGACUGCUUCAGCCAGUUCACAAGGAAACUGGCAUUUGGGUUGAACAUAUUCCAAGCUGGAAGCCAGACUGUUGAAAUGAAGCCCCAGUUGGCUCAUUCCUUGGCCAUGAGGCAGGGACACUUACGGAUUGAACUCUGGGAGUUCACCUUGCCCUCUGUCUCCUCCAAACUGUGUAGAAAGGCUCCUUUCUUCAAGAUAUUCAUUUUCACCAGCAAGAAACUAACCAGGAAUCAAUUUCAGGUUCUGAUCUAUGUAAACCAUCAAAUUAUGAACCUUUCUCUAGGAGAUACCCAAAAUGAGUCUUUCUCUAAGUCUGACCUUCACAGGUUUUUUUCACUUACAUGGAUGACAGUCUGACACCAGCAACUCUAUAGUGCCAAAACCAAACUGUCCAGAAAACAGCCCCAUGACAACAAGAGUCACAGUCUCAGAAAGGACAGACACUCCCAACUCUGCUGUGCGUCUCCCACUUUUCAGUGCUCUGCAGCUUAGGUCAGCUGGUCUGUAGCUGUUCUUCUGUAGCACAAGGUCACCUAUAGAGGACAGCACCUGCCCAGGAGGCACCAAGGAGAACUCCAUUGUCCCUCCUUUGCAGGCUCAAGUUUGGCCUCAGCUCUUAGCUACCUGUCUCAGUCCUGUGCCUGCCACUGCAGGUCAUUCACCUGCUUCACACCAACACCAAUAAGUUCAAUGACACAGAGACCUUCAGUCACAUUGUUUGAAUAAGAAAACAGCAGAGACCCUGCUUUCCUUCUAUGCUUUUGUGUACAGUAAAGGAGGAAAACUAAAAUACUGGCAAAUAAUUAUUCCUUUGAGAAAAACAAAGAUGUUAGCAAACUAUUAUUUUCAUAUUAACAAAUUCUUAUGGAGAGCAACUAAUUAGGUGUGAACCUUCCUUUUUCCUCUGCUUCAGUGACUCUCUAUGAUCCUUGGUGAGGCAUCAUUCAUCCUUUCCAGGUUUAGGAAAGGCCAGAAAGGCCAGAUUGAACAUUUUUUUUUUUUUUAAUGGUGUUGGGGAUUGAACCUAGGGUGUCCUCACACAUGCUAAGCAAGCACUCUCUCACUGAACUACAUACACCCCCAGCCUCAAGUCUGUUUAAAAAAUAUGAAUAAUGAAAAAUAAUAUGAU